AACGAACGCUGGCGGCAUGCCUAACACAUGCAAGUCGAACGAGACCUUCGGGUCUAGUGGCGCACGGGUGCGUAACGCGUGGGAACCUGCCCUUAGGUUCGGAAUAACUCCCCGAAAGGGGUGCUAAUACCGGAUAAUGUCUUCGGACCAAAGAUUUAUCGCCUUUGGAUGGGCCCGCGUUGGAUUAGCUAGUUGGUAGGGUAAAAGCCUAACAAGGCAACGAUGCAUAGCUGGUCCGAGAGGGUGAUCAGCCACACGGGGACUGAGAAACGGCCCAGAAGAAGAGGGGAGGCAGAAGUAGGGAAUCGUCAGAAAGGGGCGAAAGCGGGAGGGAGCAAGGACGAGUGAGUGAUGAAGGUCUUCGGAUCGUAAAAAGCUGGUAAGAGGGAAGAAAAUAUGUGUAAGUAACUGUGCAGAUCUGGAAGGGACAUAAUCAGAAAGCCAAGGAUAACUACGUG
rnacentral:rRNA from 1 species